rnacentral:rRNA from 1 species
GACGAACCGUGCGAACGUUGUUCGGAAUCACUGGGCUUAAAGGGCGCGUAGGCGGCUUGACCAGUCCUGUGUGAAAUCCAUCGGCUCAACCGGUGGACGGCCUGGGAUACUGUCAAGCUCGAGGGGGGGGUAGGGGCGACGGGAACGGCCAGUGGAGCGGUGAAAUGCGUUGAGAUUGGCAGGAACGCCGGUGGCGAAAGCGCGAUCGCUGGACCCCUCCUGACGCUGAGGCGCGAAAGCCAGGGGAGCAAACGGG